rnacentral:rRNA from 1 species
UACGAAGGGGGCUAGCGUUGCUCGGAAUUACUGGGCGUAAAGGGCGCGUAGGCGGACAGUUAAGUCAGAGGUGAAAGCCCAGGGCUCAACCCUGGAAUAGCCUUUGAUACUGGCUGUCUUGAGUGCGGGAGAGGUGUGUGGAACUCCGAGUGUAGAGGUGAAAUUCGUAGAUAUUGGGAAGAACACCGGUGGCGAAGGCGGCUCACUGGCUCGUAUCUGACGCUCAGGCGCGACAGCGUGGGGAUCAAACAGG